UAAUGAACUGUGGUGUCAAGUUCAAUUCCAGCGCCGUCUCCAAGCUGACGCGGAGUGACACAGUAGUCAUUUGAAGCUGGACUGUCAUGCAAAUUUGAAAAUAAUCAGUUAUAUAAAGUUGGUGCAGAGGUUCUGCAGAGAUGCCUCCGUGCAACACUCACAGGCCUGAAUCUACAGUACACAUCUCACACAGACUAUAAUGGACACAAAUCUAUCGUAAAGCCUCACAUCAGUCCUGAAGAGACCAAACAAGAUUCCUGCAAGACAUCGCUUCCGGCCUGUUAUUAAGCCACGGAACAGUUCCACAAGCUGCAGCUGCAAACAGGAACCGGAGGGUUUGAAAUGGUUCUCCACUGGUCGACCUGCCGCCGCUGCAGCUCCGUCUCCCUCCACGCUUGCAUAACGGUGCUCUUAACGCAUCAGCUCAUGUCAGCGCUGAAUGUU